GCCCGCCUAGCUCAAUCGGAUAGAGCGUCAGACUCUUACGGCGGAGCAUCCGGAUCUGAAGGCUGCGAGUUCGACCCUCGCGGUGGGCU